rnacentral:tRNA from 1 species
CGGGGCAUGGCGCAGCCUGGUAGCGCAUCUGCUUUGGGAGCAGAGGGUCGCAGGUUCGAAUCCUGCUGCCCCGACCA